rnacentral:lncRNA from 1 species
AGUCCACAUGUGAUUUCUUCUAUUUUGGAAUGUGUAGAUCACUCACUUAACUUUCCCUGAGCUUCAUGAGCUCUGCCUUCCAGUUUAAGCCCUGGAAAUACAUAACGAAGCACAAAAGCCAGCUUUGCUUUAUGAGCUCCAUGGAAAAGACACACAAUAAAAUGGUCAUAUUUUAAUGUGAAAAAUGUUAAUGACAAGUAAAGCCAAGUGUGUCAAGGGGACAUAGUAAAGGGGCCUAAUGUGGCUUGGAGAGUCAGGGAGGGCUCGUGCUUUGUACAACGGCUUUGUAUCUAAACUCUCAUACAAAGGGUGAGAAGUUGGCCAGGCAAAGAUGGGGAAUUUGUGGAAGGGGUCAUGAAAGAUUUGAGGGCUGGAAGAAAUUUCACUCUGGCUAGGGCAUAGAGCGCGAACUAGGUUCUCAGACCCGAAGCCAGAGGAAUGAGUAGAAACUACAUCACGGGACCUUGGAAACCAACGUUAAGAAGCUGCCAAAGCACCUUGAGGAGAAAGACUUGAUUAGUAUUAUAUUGAAACAUGAAUUAUUUGGGAAAUGUCAAGGUGUCUGAAAAGUGGAAUGAGUUAAAAUUGAGGAAGGAAGCAUUCUAGACAAAGCUCAGAAUCUUAGGAGACUUACUCUGGACCUCAGGAUAUCUCAUCACGAGCAAAAUUCCCCAGUGCAAUGUGGAGGCUGUGGUCUCUGUACCUGUCGUGAACAGAUUAUUAACAAGUGUCACCAACUUUUUAUCACUGAAAUAGUCAGCAAAUGUGUCAUUCUCCUGAAAGAGUAAAAUGAACCACCG